rnacentral:lncRNA from 1 species
AUGAUGUGGUUCAGUGAUGAGGAGCAGGGUGUGAAAGGGCAGGCAGUGAAAGUAAUGGAGAAGCAGUCUUCCUCAAGGCCAUCUCUGCCAUCACUGGUGCUCUGCGAAGGAAAAGGCUGCUGCUCAUCGCCAGAAGACAGAGUGUAUUCAUUACUUCAGACACAACUUCUACCACAGAAAUGAGAGCUGGAAUACAGGCAUUUUAAAUUCUUUUAUUCUCCCACUUCCUCCUGGGCACAGAGGUUCCCCAGUUUUUUGCCCUCCAUUGAGAUUUUUGCCAGACUUUUCCCAAGCUUGCAGCAUUGAUAGAUUAGUCUGAUUUUCCUUGAUGUUCCAUUCCUCUCUUUGUAGCCUCUGUAGUACCAUUUGAACUGAGAAUUAUGUUGGUGAUGUAGUCUGAAAGUUUGUUCUAAUGUUAUUUUUUUUUUUUUAUUGCUUUUUGCCAAGUUUUAAACUUUUGUUUUAAACUUCAUCUAGAACUGUAUUUCUUUAAGUCUUCUAUCCAGCAGAAAUUCAGUGCAGAUUCGCAGUUUGCUCUGAAAUGAACAACUCAGAUACAGUGAUGCGUUUGCCUGCUCCUGCUUUGGAGUUUGAGUUUGGUUCUGAUUUCAUUGGUUCAGAUUGGGCGCUCAAGGACUGUGAUGGUGCAAGGGCUCAGUCCUCUUUAGCAGAGUGUUAGCUCCCCAUUUCUAGAGGCUCUAUCAAAAGCAAUAGUUAAGCACAUAGCUGUAUUCUUCAAUUGCCUUGUGUGAGUAUGUCCCACCACCUGCAUUCCACAGACAGAGCCCAUAGCUAUGGGGAAGGGAUUGCUUAGUCAAAGGCAGGUGGGAACUUGCAGAGGAGCAAGGAGCAUAAUAUCUUCUCUGAACUGCAAGCCUGUGGCUUAGCCAUUAGAUUAUUCUCCAUCCCCUGCAGAGGAAGAGAGAGAUUCACCAGCUCCAGGAAGCCUCUGCCUUCCAAUGGAGGAGCAGCUCUUAAAUCAGGGCAGGAUUUAAUGACAGGUACCCACUCCGCUCCUAAAAUGCAGGAGUGCUCCUCUGCUGUACAGUGAAUAAUAGGAUGCUGACUGCCUCAAUAUUUUAUAGGAAUGUACAUUUAUUGGGCUUCUG